rnacentral:rRNA from 1 species
GGACGUCAUGGAGGGUGAGAAUCCCGUGUGGCGAGGGUGUUAGUUCUUUGUAAAGGGUGCUCCGAAGAGUCGAGUUGUUUGGGAAUGCAGCUCUAAGUGGGUGGUAAAUUCCAUCUAAAGCUAAAUACAGGCGAGAGACCGAUAGCGAACAAGUACAGUGAUGGAAAGAUGAAAAGAACUUUGAAAAGAGAGUGAAAAAGUACGUGAAAUUGUUGAAAGGGAAGGGCAUUUGAUCAGACAUGGUGUUUUGCGCCCCUCGCUCCUUGUGGGUGGGGGACUCUCGCAGCUCACUGGGCCAGCAUCAGUUUUUGCGGCAGGACAAAACCUUGGGAAUGUAGCUGUGCGCCUCGGUGUACAGUGUUAUAGCUCUUGGGAAUACUGCCAGCGGGAGACUGAGGACUGCUAUUAUCUUGUUUAUCUAGGAUGCUAGCAAAAAUGGUUAUAUGCCGCCCG